rnacentral:rRNA from 1 species
UCUCGGCUCUCGCAUCGAUGAAGAACGUAGCGAAAUGCGAUACUUGGUGUGAAUUGCAGAAUCCCGUGAACCAUCGAGUCUUUGAACGCAAGUUGCGCCCGAAGCCAUUCGGCCGAGGGCACGUCUGCCUGGGCUUCACGCAU